CAGGGAUGGACUGAAAGAAAAGCUGAACUGUGAGGCAAGGAAUCUUAAGGACAGCCCUGGCCAACCCCACAGGGAGCUUUGGAGCUAAAAGUCUGGCCAAAGUUGCCUCAGGCACCUAAAAGAAGCAAGCCCAGCUGAGGACAAAAGAACCACCCAGUGGAGUCCAACACAGAUUGUCGCCUCACAGUAUAAUGAGCUGAAUAAAUGAUUGUUGUUUUAGAACACUAA